rnacentral:rRNA from 1 species
UACGGAGGGUGCAAGCGUUAAUCGGAAUUACUGGGCGUAAAGCGCGCGUAGGCGGUUUAGUAAGUUGGAUGUGAAAGCCCUGGGCUUAACCUGGGAACUGCAUUUGAUACUGCUAGGCUAGAGUAUGGUAGAGGGAAGUGGAAUUUCAGGUGUAGCGGUGAAAUGCGUAGAUAUCUGAAGGAACAUCAGUGGCGAAGGCGACUUCCUGGACCAAUACUGACGCUGAGGUGCGAAAGCGUGGGUAGCAAACGGG